rnacentral:pre_miRNA from 1 species
AAUAUACUCCCUCCGUCUCGAAAUAUUUGUCACAAGAAUGAAUGUAUUUAGAUGUAUUUUAUUUUUAAAUACAUUUAUUUUUAUUCAUUUAUGCGACAAGUAAUUUCCGGAGGAGGAAAUAGAAA